UAUAUACUUCCUCUCCGUCCCAAAAUUCUUAUCUUAGAUUUGUAUAGAAAUAGAUGUAUCUAAAUACUAAAGCAUGAUUGGAUACAUUCAUAUCUAGACAAAUGUAAGAAAAAACUUUUAGGACGGAGGGAGUAGGUA
rfam:Hordeum vulgare subsp. vulgare, WGS project CAJW01000000 data, contig: morex_contig_1571380